rnacentral:tRNA from 1 species
AUUGACCUGGGCCACCGCCAGUUGGGCCUGGCUCUCGCCGAGCUGGGCCCUGGCCUGGUCGAGGCUGGCGCGGAUCGAGCGGUCGUCG